rnacentral:rRNA from 1 species
UCGCUCCUACCGAUUGAGUGAUCCGGUGAAUAAUUUGGACCGCAGCUUCGUUCAGCUUCUGAAUGUUGCCGUGGAAAGUUUAGUGAACCUUAUCACUUAGAGGAAGGAG